AUUUGGGACAGCAUCUACAAAAAAAAACAUACUCCGGCAAAAGAAAACAAUUCAACUACCUACACAUGGCUUAUUUAAGGCAAACAACACGAUUGGUAAACUUCUUUAGAACCGUUCUUCCUAGCUGCAUGUUUGUUGAUGUUCAUCGGAAACUGUUUGCUAGGCCCCGAAGAUGCAUCAGAAGCCAUGGAAUCAUCACUCUCUUCAUUACCUCCAUCAUCACUACUAUCACCAUCAUCGUUCUCAUAACCAUCAUGAUCAGCCUCUUUGACCUGUGUAUCAUCAUCAUCAUCGACAACAACAGAUGAAUGGUCAUUUCCAUGGAAGGCGUCUUCUAUGUACAUAGUCCACCCUGACUCACAACUGCUGUAUUCCUCCUCCUCCUCAGAGCCACCAUGGUUCCUCGGAGACUCCAUGGCUUUGAAAGCAAAGCAAAGAAGAAAGCAAACCCAAGGUUUCAGGAUUAGCACACACACACAGACACCAAAAAAGAUCACUUGCUUUUUUUCUAGAUACGUACCUUAUGUGUUUCAAUCCGCCUCACCAAUUUACUCUCUGAUAUAGGCACUGUGUCUCUGUCUCUCAUUUGCUUUGCUCUUCCAUCAUCAAUAAAUAUAAUUUUUUUUUGUUGGUAAUUUUUGAAGUAUCAAGAAAAGCCGGAGCCUAUAGGAAGCCUCAUAUAAUUGAAGAGAAGGAGUAAGUUUCACCACAUGGCAACCCUAGCACCAUAGUUUUCACUCAAUUGAAGCACUACCAGACAAAGCUCAUUGCAGAUAUAUAUGAAGGGAAGGAAGGUUAGUGCCUUCUUCAUUAUAAAGUACACUCUCUCAUAUAGAAUUAAAAGCCUAUGCUCUUCUUUUUCAACACAGAAAUUAAUAUAUUUAUAUGACUAAAACCUUUCUUUAAACAAAUAUAUUGGUUCCCUAACAAACCGUAAUCUAGUCUUAGAGUCAGGACACAUCAGUAUCCACAUAACAAGCAUCAUCCUUCUGAGCUCUGUCAUUAGUGAUGUGUAACCAAAGCUCAUAGGUUGUAUUACUUGUCCUUUCUGUGCUCUUCUUAAUUGAUAAUAAUCAUAUGGUUUGUGAAGUUUUUUUUAACUUCUCUGUACUCUCCCUCUCUCUCUCUCUUCUCUCUAUGUAUUCACUGGCUAUAUCUUAAAUAGAAAAGAUCAGCUUUUGAGGUGGAAAUCAGAAGAGACCCACCUCAACAAACAAGAAGGAAUAAAAGAAGCAUUUACUUAAUUAGCCUUUGCUUCCCUCUCUGUGUAUUGAAAAGGUGAUACCCAACUGGAUUUUCUUUGUCAUUUUUGUUUUAAAAGAUAAGGACAAAACAAAAAGAAGUAAAACAACUGUCACAAACCCAAAAAUAAAAUAUAAAGACAGGAUUUUACAAUUACAAGAAUAAGUUGUCUUCAUUGCGUUUCCUGUUUCUCUGGCGUCACCUUAAAAUGUUCUUUCAAUGGAGGAGGGCCUCUUGGUGACAGCUUGCAAAUCAAAGUGCAUGUGUGAGAGAGUUCCAUAUUACAAAAAGGGUUGUUUUGUUUUGACUUUUGACUCUUCUCUUUGAGUAAUGUAAACAUAUAUAUUUGUUUAGCUUUGACCUUUAACUUGAAGACUUGUUUGAGUCUCAUAAGUAAAAUAAAAACGUAUCUAAA